GAUGAACGCUGGCGGCGUGCCUAAUACAUGCAAGUCGAGCGAACGGACGAGAAGCUUGCUUCUCUGAUGUUAGCGGCGGACGGGUGAGUAACACGUGGAUAACCUACCUAUAAGACUGGGAUAACUUCGGGAAACCGGAGCUAAUACCGGAUAAUAUUAUGAACCGCAUGGUUCAAAAGUGAAAGACGGUCUUGCUGUCUCUUAUAGAUGGAUCCGCGCUGCAUUAGCUAGUUGGUAAGGUAACGGCUUACCAAGGCAACGAUGCAUAGCCGACCUGAGAGGGUGAUCGGCCACACUGGAACUGAGACACGGUCCAGACUCCUACGGGAGGCAGCAGUAGGGAAUCUUCCGCAAUGGGCGAAAGCCUGACGGAGCAACGCCGCGUGAGUGAUGAAGGUCUUCGGAUCGUAAAACUCUGUUAUUAGGGAAGAACAUAUGUGUAAGUAACUGUGCACAUCUUGACGGUACCUAAUCAGAAAGCCACGGCUAACUACGUG
rnacentral:rRNA from 1 species